GGCUACCCCUCCAAAUUCCCCACCUUCGGCCCCAAAUUAUCCUAUCCGCCUCGGCAGCCGCCGGACAUGAAGAAGAAGGCGCCGACGGCGGCGGCGGUGCCUGCAGCCAAGAGUCGCGCAUCCGGUGGAACCACCGGGCGCAGGCCACGGAAACGGGCGCGCGACGGCGAUCUCAUCGGCCAUGAUGAUCUCGUUACUCACGGCGACCACAUCAGCGAACUCCCUGAUGCCAUCCUCUGCACCAUCAUCUCCCUCCUCCCCACCGAGGACGGCGCUCGCACGCAGGUCCUGUCCCGCCGAUGGCGCGCUCUCUGGCACUCUGCGCCUCUCAACCUCGACGCCUACUACGACCUCUGCCCCGACGAAUUCAAGCGCUUCUCCAUUGUCUCCAAAAUCCCUUCCGCCGCUUCUACUACCGGUCCAUCCGCUUCUACAACGAUAUGUUUCCAUCUCCGAUAAUGUGUUCCAUGGGAUGCUCUGGCUGCCAUGUCCUGGAGACCCUAGAUCUCAAGGAAAUUCGUGAUGUGCGUUGCUUCCACAUUACCUCGUCAACUCUUAGGAGCAUUGACUUUUCUGCUCGUUAUUUGGGCAAAGAGGAAUUCAUCAUUGAGGACGCCCCUCGCCUUGAGAGGCUGCUGCUAUCUCGUGGAGGUGCUGAGACUAUCCGGGUAAUUAGGGCACCUAAACUAAAGAUAUUGGGCCCUUUGUCGCCCUGCAUCUCCGAAAUCAAGAUUGCAAACCUAAUCUUCCAGGGUCUUAUCCCAGCCAGCUUGAAAACCCAGACACACACUGAAAAUUUUGGCUCUCGAGCUUUCUAGCCCUGAUUUGAACGCUGUUUGAUGUCCUCAGAUGUUUCCCCUGCUUGGAAAAACUGUGUGUCGAUUGGGAUACAAACUUAAAGACACAGAUGCAAAAUGUGUGUCAGUAUGAUCCACUAGAUCCAAUCAAGUGCCUUGAAACCCAUCUAAAAAGCUGGGGUUGAGAAGUUAUGGAGGCAGUGAGGUUCUUUGUUUUGAACGCCAAAGUGCUAAAGGAAAUGACAUUUGGAGUCCGUGGGAAGGUCAAAAAGAAGUGGGUGGCUAAUCAGCACAUGCUGCUUGACGUGGAAAAUAGAGCUUCUCGAGAUGCCCAAUUCGAAUUCAGAUAUCGUCCUCACGUAUAUUUGGAUAUCCAUGAUUUGUCAAUUGCUGAUCCCUUCAAUCACUCUUUUGUAGGCCGGCUAGAUGCCCUUUGAAAAUAAGCAUAUCUCUGAUUUGUCCAUGGCCAAUCCCAUUGGCUGCUUGUUCUGUAGACAAGGUCGACAUCCUCUUUAGUCCAACUCUCAAAUUUGGUUGGCCGUAGUGUCUGUAGUUCCUUCGUAAUUCCGAAGUAUUUUUGCAUGGGUAUGUCAAGCCUUGUUCAGAUUAAAAUUAUUGUGGAUGCAAACCUUGUUUGUUCCAGUUUCAAAUGGAUUGAUCAGAUUUUCAGACAAAAGUCUCCCAUAACGAAUGGAUCAUUGCACUAAUAGUUGGACCCCGGAGUUCUUAUUUGUGCUGGGAUUUUAACCCAGUUUCGGAAAUCCAGGUGGGUUCCAUUGGAUACAGAACUGCACUCUGCAGUUCAGCAAAAGAUAAUCGUUGUUAUCUAAAUAAGUGCCGUCAGCACAACCGAAGGUUGCCGAGAUCUCUGCCGAUGAACGAUACAAUCUGUGCAUGCGAGGGCUUUGGAUCACCGCUGAGGACAGCAGCUCCCAGUCAGGCGAAUCGCCUCCUGGACCUCUCCAUUUCUCAAAAACCAAUGUAGGCGUCUCAUCAGCGGCGAUGGUCGGCUACGAGGAGGAAGACAGCAGGUCUGAGAGCUAUGGUUGAAAAUGAUCUAAAGAGGUUGCAGCAUUAGUGUUCGUUUGUUAGAAAUUUUUAACUGCAUUUGAAGCACUAUAGAGAUAAAGUUCUGCAUUCCGAA